AGAGUUUGAUCCUGGCUCAGGACGAACGCUGGCGGCGUGCUUAACACAUGCAAGUCGAACGCUGAAGCCUGGCUUUUGUUGGGUGGAUGAGUGGCGAACGGGUGAGUAACACGUGAGUAACCUGCCCCCUUCUUUGGGAUAACGCCCGGAAACGGGUGCUAAUACUGGAUAUUCACUGGCCUUCGCAUGGGGGUUGGUGGAAAGGGUUUUCUGGUGGGGGAUGGGCUCGCGGCCUAUCAGCUUGUUGGUGGGGUGAUGGCCUACCAAGGCUUUGACGGGUAGCCGGCCUGAGAGGGUGACCGGUCACAUUGGGACUGAGAUACGGCCCAGACUCCUACGGGAGGCAGCAGUGGGGAAUAUUGCACAAUGGGCGCAAGCCUGAUGCAGCGACGCCGCGUGAGGGAUGGAGGCCUUCGGGUUGUGAACCUCUUUCGCUCAUGGUCAAGCCGCAACAAUGGUUGUGGUGAGGGUAGUGGGUAAAGAAGCGCCGGCUAACUACGUGCCAGCAGCCGCGGUAAUACGUAGGGCGCGAGCGUUGUCCGGAAUUAUUGGGCGUAAAGGGCUUGUAGGCGGUUGGUCGCGUCUGCCGUGAAAUCCUCUGGCUUAACUGGGGGCGUGCGGUGGGUACGGGCUGACUUGAGUGCGGUAGGGGAGACUGGAACUCCUGGUGUAGCGGUGGAAUGCGCAGAUAUCAGGAAGAACACCGGUGGCGAAGGCGGGUCUCUGGGCCGUUACUGACGCUGAGGAGCGAAAGCGUGGGGAGCGAACAGGAUUAGAUACCCUGGUAGUCCACGCUGUAAA
rnacentral:rRNA from 1 species